rnacentral:lncRNA from 1 species
AUAUUUUAUAUUUCUGAAUUGCAGCAUUAUCUACUAAUUUUUCUCUGCUUUUCAAGGUAAUCAAGCUUCCCUGGUGGCUCAGAGGUUAAAGCAUCUGCCCGCAAUGCAAGAGAUCUGGAUUCGAUCCCUGGGUCGGGAAGAUCCCCUGGAGAAGGAAAUGGCAACCCACUCCAGUGUUCUUGCCUGGAGAAUCCCAUGGACGGAGGAGCCUGGUGGGCUACAGUCCAUGGGGUUGCAGAGUCGGACACAACUGAGCAACGUCACUUCACUUCACUUUCAAGCAUUUCAAAGUGCCCCUUCAAGGAUGGACAUAAAGGAAAUGACAGCAAAAUAGUGGAAGGCAAUGCCUAGCUCGCAUACUCCAAAGGAAAUAAUGAAAAACAAACAGAAACUGUCAGAACCAAAUUUAUCAGAACCCUGGAAAACAGUCAAAAGAUUACAGCAGCCAGGUAAGUGCUGAGUCAAUGAAAAGUUAAAUCUAAAAUCAGAGGAAAAUUUUGUGGUACUUUUACUUGCCCUUGCUCAAGCUCUCAUCAAGGUAGUGGGUAGUGGGUAGUGGAGGUCUUGGUUUUAAAGUGCCAGCAACUUGUAUUUUC